CGCUGGCGGCGUGCCUAUACAUGCAAGUCGAGCGGACAGAAGGGAGCUUGCUCCCGGAUGUUAGCGGCGGACGGGUGAGUAACACGUGGGUAACCUGCCUGUAAGACUGGGAUAACUCCGGGAAACCGGAGCUAAUACCGGAUAGUUCCUUGAACCGCAUGGUUCAAGGAUGAAAGACGGUUUCGGCUGUCACUUACAGAUGGACCCGCGGCGCAUUAGCUAGUUGGUGGGGUAAUGGCUCACCAAGGCGACGAUGCGUAGCCGACCUGAGAGGGUGAUCGGCCACACUGGGACUGAGACACGGCCCAGACUCCUACGGGAGGCAGCAGUAGGGAAUCUUCCGCAAUGGACGAAAGUCUGACGGAGCAACGCCGCGUGAGUGAUGAAGGUUUUCGGAUCGUAAAGCUCUGUUGUUAGGGAAGAACAAGUGCGAGAGUAACUGCUCGCACCUUGACGGUACCUAACCAGAAAGCCACGGCUAACUACGUGCCAGGGCGGCGCGGUAA
rnacentral:rRNA from 1 species